rnacentral:rRNA from 1 species
AUUCUAAGGUGAGCGAGCGAACUCUCGUUAAGGAACUCGGCAAAAUGACCCCGUAACUUCGGGAGAAGGGGUGCUCUUUAGGGUUAACGCCCAGAAGAGCCGCAGUGAAUAGGCCCAAGCGACUGUUUAUCAAAAACACAGGUCUCUGCUAAACCGUAAGGUGAUGUAUAGGGGCUGACGCCUGCCCGGUGCUGGAAGGUUAAGAGGAGUGGUUAGCUUCUGCGAAGCUACGAAUCGAAGCCCCAGUAAACGGCGGCCGUAACUAUAACGGUCCUAAGGUAGCGAAAUUCCUUGUCGGGUAAGUUCCGACCCGCACGAAAGGCGUAACGAUUUGGGCACUGUCUCAACGAGAGACUCGGUGAAAUCAUAGUACCUGUGAAGAUGCAGGUUACCCGCGACAGGACGGAAAGACCCCGUGGAGCUUUACUGUAGCCUGAUAUUGAAAUUCGGCACAGCUUGUACAGGAUAGGUAGGAGCCUUUGAAACGUGAGCGCUAGCUUACGUGGAGGCGCUGGUGGGAUACUACCC